rnacentral:rRNA from 1 species
AUGAAAAAAGCACAAGAAAAGCUUGGAGCAUUGCUGGGGCGAAACCCUGGCUUGUCCAAAGAUUUCAACAGCUGUGUUGACUUCAGCUUGACGCUGGAAGAAUUUGAGGCAAGGUGGUGUGAGCUGAUGAUGAAGUAUGAGGCUAUGACUGACUCCCACUUCGAGAAUCUAUACAAGUACAGAGAGACAUGGGUGCCCUGCUACUUCAAGCACCAAUUCUUCCCUUUCUUGCAGUGA